GCGGGGAGUACCGACCCGGAUCACUCGGCC
rnacentral:antisense_RNA from 1 species